UCCGGUUUGUCACCGGCAGUCUCCCUAGAGUUCCCGACCGAAUCGCUGGCAAAUAGGGACAAGGGUUGCGCUCGUUACGGGACUUAACCCAACAUUUCACAACACGAGCUGACGACAGCCAUGCAGCACCUGUCACUCGGCUCCCGAAGGCACUCCGCCGUCUCCGGCAGAUUCCGAGGAUGUCAAGGGUAGGUAAGGUGGGAUGACGUCACUGUACCAUAGA
rnacentral:misc_RNA from 1 species